rnacentral:rRNA from 1 species
CCCUCAGAAUGGUUGGAAAUCAUUCGAAGAGUGUAAAGGCAGAAGGGAGCUUGACUGCGAGACCAACAAGUCGAGCAGGGACGAAAGUCGGGCUUAGUGAUCCGGUGGUUCCGCAUGGAAGGGCCAUCGCUCAACGGAUAAAAGCUACCCUGGGGAUAACAGGCUUAUCUCCCCCAAGAGUCCACAUCGACGGGGAGGUUUGGCACCUCGAUGUCGGCUCGUCGCAUCCUGGGGCUGUAGUCGGUCCCAAGGGUUGGGCGGUUCGCCCAUUAAGGCGGCACGCGAGCUGGGUUCAGAACGUCGUGGGACAGUUCGGUCCCUAUCCGUCGCGGGCGUUGGAAAUUUGAGAGGAGCUGUCCUUAGUACGAGAGGACCGGGAUGGACUUACCGCUGGUGUACCAGUUGUUCUGCCAAGGGCAUUGCUGGGUAGCUAUGUAGGGAAGGGAUAAACGCUGAAAG